CCGGAAGUUGACUGUAUUAGCGCGGAGAGCGAAAGUUAACCGGGAAAGUACAUAAAACGACGGAAAACACGGUGAUAAAGUGAAAUAGCGUUGCAGAAAGUGUAUAGUUUUCUUUGUUUAGCUCCUGUCGAUAGUGGACACAAGCUCUUACGUUGGUUUGAUAACGCAAUGUGAAUGAGAAAGAAAUAAAGAGCAUCAGACCAUCA
rnacentral:lncRNA from 1 species